GCCUAACACAUGCAAGUCGAACGUGAGGGCAGAGACAAGCGCUUCGGUGUGAGUUUUUGUCUGAAAGUGGCGGACGGGUGAGUAACACGUGGGUAACCUGCCUCGGAGUGGGGGAUAACCAUUGGAAACGAUGGCUAAUACCGCAUGGGUCUGCGAUUACGGGAGUGAUUGCGGAUAAAGCUCAGGCGCUUCAAGAGGGGCCUGCGGCCGAUUAGUUAGUUGGCGGGGUAACGGCCCACCAAGGCUGAGAUCGGUAGCUGGUCUGAGAGGACGAUCAGCCACACGGGAACUGAGAGACGGUCCCGACUCCUACGGGGGGCAGCAGUGAGGAAUAUUGCACAAUGGGGGCAACCCUGAUGCAGCAACGCCGCGUGGAGGAUGAAGGUCUUUGGAUUGUAAACUCCUUUUUCUGGGGAAGAGAACGGACGGUACCCGGGGAAUAAGUCACGGCUAACUACGUGCCAGCCGCCGCAGUAACAC
rnacentral:rRNA from 1 species